AGCAGCCGCGGUAAUUCCAGCUCCAAUAGCGUAUAUUAAAGUUGUUGCAGUUAAAAAGCUCGUAGUUGAAUUUCGGGAUCAAAGGAUCGGUCAUGCCUUGGUAUGUACUGGUUUUAUUGGUUCUCACCUUCUAAAGGACCAUAAUGUCAUUCAUUUGAUGUUAUGGGGAAUUAGGACUGUUACCUUGAAAAAUUAGAGUGUUUAAAGCAGGCUUACGCUUGAAUACAUUAGCAUGGAAUAAUGAAAUAGGACAUCAGAUUCUAUUUUGUUGGUUUCUAGGAUCGAUGUAAUGAUUAAUAGGGAUAGUUGGGGGCAUUAGUAUUCAAUUGUCAGAGGUGAAAUUCUUGGAUUUAUUGAAGACUAACUACUGCGAAAGCAUUUGCCAAGGAUGUUUUCAUUAAUCAAGAACGAAAGUUAGGGGAUCGAAGACGAUCAGAUACCGUCGUAGUCUUAACCAUAAACUAUGCCGACUAGGGAUCGGAUGAUGUUAAUUUAUAAUGACUCAUUC
rnacentral:misc_RNA from 1 species